GAACGCCCCGCCCCGCCCCGCGCCUCGGUCUCGGUAGGAGUCGGAGCUUGAACCUGAUCGUGGCCGCGGGGGAGAGGAUAGCCGCGCCGGGGGGGAGUUAGCCCCGCGUCGCUGGCGGGCCUGGCUGCUGCUGUUUCCCGUCCAGGGCAGAGCAAGCUCUAACCCUCCGCCCUGCUUGAAACAGGAAAACUCCCCCGUACAGCUGUAGGAUUCGUUCCCAGUGUAGGCAAGGCCUUCCCAACCCCUGGGCCGCAGGAAUAGCUGGCAGGGUCACCAACCAACUUUAGACAUAGCUGCUCCUUUUAAAGGAGAAAAACGUGGGAAACGGCGGCUUUUCCCCUCCCUGCAGGUUGGCAGAGCUCGAGUCCGCGAGCGGCUGUUUGGGCGCCCCGCCCCGCGGCCGGGAGGGCUGGGGGCGAGGGCUGGCACGGACGUCUACACACGGGCCCUGCUUCAACAGGGCUGAGAGUCACUGCUGCUCUAGAGGAAGCUGUCCCAUGAGCUCUCUCUCCACAGCCACCGAUGGAAAUCAAGCUAUAAACAGCGGAGUCUAAGACAACUGAGGGAUAGAAAUCCCUGCAAGUGGAAUUACACGAGGGGACAAAGGCCAAUUCAUUCAAAAAACAUCUUUGACAGGCAAGAGUAUUGGAGAAAAAUGCUAUGAAAAGAAAAUACAGUGGAGGCAGUCUCUAGGGAAAAUAUGGAAACCAAGGAAAACAAGCUCUUGAAAAAGGAUCUCAUGUUGAGAGUAAACACAAAUGAGAAAUAUACCACAACAUAUUUUAUCAUUAUUUAUGGAGCACUGGUGUAUGAGUGCUGCCUGACAAACACAGAGGAAGACACAGUUCCUUUCAGUGGGAGAUUAAAACACAAGGAUCAUACUCACUGCUCCUGACCAGCAAUCCAGGAGAUGGUGCUCUGAGCGGGAAACUCCUCGAGAGUCUUUUCAUGGCCACUCUUUCAACCUCAUGAAUACUUUGCUGCCUUCCAGCUGGAGAUUUGAAAGCUCUCUGUAAACACUAAUGAUUACACGUCACACAUGAGGUAGGCAGAUAUUAUUUACUCAUUUUUCUUUCUGUUGAGCAAGCUGAGGCAAAGAAAGCCUGGUAAGGCGAAAUUUUUCAAGCUUAAAUUUUAAAAAAUUAUGCUCGUAAUAAAUCCAUAGUAGGUUACAAACAUGUGGUUUUCAGAACCCUUAAGGUUCCCAGUGAGUAAGUGACCUGCCCACAGUUACCCAGAAUAUCUGAGACAGAGACAGACAUCCAGAGUUUCUGACUCCCUGUCUUCUGGUUUAACUGUGGCAUCAUCCAAUGCAAAUAUUUUGUAUCUCCUUAAAAUUUUACCAUUGUUAUAAGGUUUUGGUACAGGUCCUGGCUCCCCACAGAUCUAAAAAUUUGGUGGCAGGGGGGCAGUAGCAGUGUUAAUUGCCAAGGCCCUGAAAGUUUCUGGAACCACGGGGAGGCCAUGGGCUGUAUGGCAUUGCCCUUUGGGCCUUGUAGGGAUUUAGAAACAAAUACUGUGUAGUUGAAUUGGUCUGACUCCCUUGGUGCACACAGUGUUACCGGUAUAAAAAGUGCUAGCUCAGUUUACUCCUGUAAAUUUGCGAUGCGUAGGGGAUGCAGGCGGGUGCACGUACACCCUCUGAGCAUGAUGGUGCACCCCCUGUGAAAAGGUGUCGCCGACACUGCUGGUGCCUGCAGGCGGUCACCACUUGCUGGCUGCCGCUGCCAGCGGUGUCUGUGGGUGGUUGCCAACUUCUGGUUGGUGCUCACCACUCCCUCCCCUCACCACUGACAGUGCCAUGGCUGCCUGUGGGAGCUCCCUGCUUACCGCCACCACGCUCCUGCUGCCAACAGCGCUGCCACUGCCUCCAGGAGCUUGCCGUGUCCCCCCAGCCUCUGGGGGCACAUGGCGUUCAUGCUCCUGUAUAGAUUUAUACCAGAUUAAACUGUGUUCAUAUCAGUAAUUAUAUUUAUUUAACUAUACCUGUAUUAAAUCAUACCCUAAACUGACAGAUUAAAAGCUACAUUUAGAUCAGGUCUAACCAACUUUUCCUUCAAUGACAGGCUCUCUAUCUCUGUAAUGAGGUGAGUCUUGAGCUGCGGUAUGCUGGAAGUCACACUGUUCCUAGCUAAGCCAUGCAGCCAGGAAUUGAUGCAAUACUGUUCUGUUUUUUCAUACUGAUUUUCUGAAGCCUAAAAUAAAAUUUGAUGAAGCAAAUCAGUGAGCCUCUGGAUCAUUAAAAUUACUAGAAAAUAUAGAUUACAUGUAGGACCCACCACCACUAGAUGGUACUGCAGAACUGUAAUUUUUUUUACCAUUUAGCUAAGCCUCAAGUCAUUGAAUUGUCUCUCCAUGCAUAAAAUAGAUGUCUGGUAUCCUUCUGAUAUCAGUGCAGAGUGAUGUGCCAGGGACCCAGGCACCCAGGACAGACACACAUAACAACCCCAGACAUUAGCACACCAGAAGGAUCAUUUAGUGACCAGUGAUUAUUCAGUUAUCUUAGAGAAUCAAAAGGCAUUCACGGUAUCUGGAAUAGUAAGUCAGUAUUAUUUUUUACAUGUGCAAUUUUUAAAUAUCAAUGUUAAAUCAUUAUGUCUUUUGUAAGAUUGAAUAAAGGCAUAGUUUCUAUUU